rnacentral:tRNA from 1 species
GGGGUCGUAACUCAGUUGGUCAGAGUGCCAGCCCGUCAAGCUGGAAGUCGCGGGUUCAAAUCCCGCCGGUCCCGCCG